AAGCCAUGCGAGUUAAAUGUUCUUCGUGAACAUAGCAGACUGCUCAGUAACACGUGGAUAACCUGCCCUUAGGACUGGCAUAACCCCGGGAAACUGGGGAUAAUUCCGGAUAGAUCAUAAAUGCUGGAAUGCUUUAUGAUUGAAAGGUUUCGACCGCCUUAGGAUGGAUCUGCGGCCUAUCAGGUUGUAGUGGGUGUAAUGUACCUACUAGCCUACGACGGGUACGGGUUGUGGAAGCAAGAGCCCGGAGAUGGAUUCUGAGACAUGAAUCCAGGCCCUACGGGGCGCAGCAGGCGCGAAAACUUUACAAUGCGGGAAACCGUGAUAAGGGAACACUGAGUGCUAGCAUUUAUGUUAGCUGUCCACAUGUGUAAAUAGCAUGUGAUAGCAAGGGCUGGGCAAGACCGGUGCCAGCCGCCGCGGUAACACCGGCAGCCCGAGUGGUGAUCACUAUUAUUGGGUCUAAAGGGUCCGUAGCCGGUUUAAUCAGUCUUCUGGGAAAUCUAAUCGCUUAACUAUUAGGCUUCCAGGGGAUACUGUUAGACUUGGGACCGGGAGAGGUAAGAGGUACUGCAGGGGUAGGAGUGAAAUCUUGUAAUCCCUGUGAGACCACCAGUGGCGAAGGCGUCUUACCAGAACGGGUCCGACGGUGAGGGACGAAAGCUGGGGGCACGAACCGGAUUAGAUACCCGGGUAGUCCCAGCUGUAAACGAUGCUCGUUAGGUGUCAGGAACGGUGCGACUGUUUCUGGUGCCGAAGGGA
rnacentral:rRNA from 1 species